GGCUUCGGUUUUAAGUCUAAGAUGCGGGUUUAUUGCAUAUGAUUUGUGAUUAAGGUCAAGGAUUUAGACAAGUAUAUAGGGAAAUCGUAUUCCAAAUUAACGGUUUCGGUUUAUGGUCUAGAAUUAGAAUAGAAAGUAUGCGGUUAGGAGUUAAGGUAUAGGACUUUGGUUUAGGGUUUAGGGUUUGAAUUUCAGGUGUACAGUACAGGGUCCAGGGAUAUAUAUUUAGGAUUUUAAUUUUACGGUUUGGAUUUAGGGUAUAGGACUUCAUUUUUGGGUUAAAGAGUUUCUUCAGUUAGAGUUGAGAAAUAUAUGACAUUUAUUUUGUUCCAUCAUUUUUCUGUGAAAUAAUGAUGGCAUGAACAUAAGAAAUACUAAUUAACUAUUUCGUAUCACCAAGAGAGCACAAACAUCAAAUGUGCAAAACCGAUAAUAAAAAUACCAUUGAUUUAUACAUGUUAUUAAACAAUAUGACAUUGAGGCCUGAUUAUAAAUAAACCCAGAACCCACUAUUAUCCAAAUGAAACCAACCUUGUUUUAUGAAUUUAAACAUGUAGAAAACCAUAAUGGAACUGAUCCCCCGUUAUUAGGCUUUUAUAUGCAUUAAUACAGUCAAAGCCCAUUUUAAAAGUCGAUCUGAAAACAUAGUUAAGCCCAAAUAUAAAGAAGACGGAUUUCAAAACUCGAAACCCUAAAUUGAGCGACUUGUUUAGUAGGUCUCUAUAAAUCUGCUACCAAAAAUACAAUCAUAGCGUCCGAACAUUCUCUCCUUUCAAUGAAGCCGCUCAAAUAUAAUUGGUCAAUUCCUACCCAGGUAUUAGCGAGCUACUAAACUAAAUUUUUUUGCAAUACAAAUUUGUUCAGCAUAAAAGAUAAUUUUUAUGAUCCUAUAGGAAUUAUGCACUUUUGAUCCUGAAAAAUCUCCAUUGGAUUCCUAUGGCUAUGUAAGUCUUUUUACACAUAAAAUAUUUUGUUUCUAUUAUACGUUUGGAGUACUUACAAGUCAUAAUUUGAUGUUUGUUAUGUGACAGUAUUACGAAAAAGUUGACAAUCAUACAGACAAUAAAGUCAUUAAGAGGCAUCAGUUUCACAUUAUGAUGCGCUUUACACAC
rnacentral:lncRNA from 1 species